rnacentral:sRNA from 1 species
GUGUCGAAGGAACUGCGCACGAGCUGACCUUCGAUCGACUCGGAACCGAUGAUGCGCAUGCUGAUCAUCGGCUGCAGCAUGGAU